rnacentral:rRNA from 1 species
GACGAACGCUGGCGGCGUGCUUAACACAUGCAAGUCGAACGGAAAGGCCCUGCUUGUGUGGGGUGCCCGAGUGGCGAACGGGUGUGUAACCCGUGAGUAACCUGCCUUUGACUGUGGGAUAUCUUCAGGCAACUGGGGCUAAUACCGGAUAGGAGCUCCUGCUGCAUGGGGGGGGUUGGAAAGUUUCGGCGGAGGGGGAUGGACUUUCGGCUUAUCAGCUUGUUGGUGGGGUAGUGGCUUACCAAGGGUUUGGUGGCUGGCCGGCCAGGGAGGGUGGCCGGCCACCUUAGGCCUGCGAGACGGACCAGACUCGAACAGGGGGCAGUGGUCGGGAAUAUUGCCCAAUGGGCGGAAGCGUGUUGCAGCGACGCCGGGAGCGGGAUGACGGCCUUCGGGGUGUAAACCGCUUUCGCCUGUGACCAAGCUUGAUUGACGGUAAUGGGUGAAGAAGCACCGGCUAACUACGUG